UACGGAGGGGGCUAGCGUUGUUCGGAAUUACUGGGCGUAAAGCGCGCGUAGGCGGCUUUGUAAGUUAGAGGUGAAAGCCCGGAGCUCAACUCCGGAAUUGCCUUUAAGACUGCAUCGCUAGAAUCAUGGAGAGGUGAGUGGAAUUCCGAGUGUAGAGGUGAAAUUCGUAGAUAUUCGGAAGAACACCAGUGGCGAAGGCGACUCACUGGACAUGUACUGACGCUGCAGCGCGAAAGCGUGGGGAUCAAACAGG
rnacentral:rRNA from 1 species